UGUGAAUUUUGUUGAUCCGAGGCGAAGCCGAGGUAGACAAUACACCGUAACCGAAAAUCUUUCUUUAGCGCUCAUGUUAGGAAAAUAGCUAAAUAAUCCGACGAAAUCACAGAAAUCUCAAAAUUUGUUUCUCAAAGAACCAUAAAUGGAUGCGAGUAUAUGGACGUGUUAUAAAACGUUUGAUGGACGUUUGUCGUCGCAGCUAAAAAAAUUAAAAUUAAUCACCAAAUGUACACUCAAGUGAAUUGUAUAAAUAGGAAAAUGUAUUAAAAUUGUACAAAGCUCUAGGUUCUAAUUUCAAAAAAGAAAAUUUUAUUUGUAAAUAAUGCAAGAAAAUGUAAUGUUGACCUGUAAAUUAUAGUUUAAUUGUUUGUCCUUACCGCAAGAUGAGUAUAUGUGUUAAAUUGAAAUGGCUAUUGUUAUAAAUAGCUUACUUUACCAGAAAACCAGAAUUUUAGUCGAAUAAACAUUUUAUUAUAAAUUGAUUAUACCUCAACACCUCAUAAUAAUAUGUAAUAGAAGACGAAGAAGAAGAAGAAGCCUAGAUGUAAUUUCUGUUUAGUUUGGAUUUGAAAUUGUUAAGUGUAUAUUUGCAUCAGAACAAACAAAAAACCGUAUGUAUUAUAGUUAGGAGGAAAAAUAAUAAUAAAGAAAAAACCAGACAUAGAAUGAGAAAAAA